AUUGGUUCACCCUUGUGUGACAAAGAGGGAACCGGGUGGGAAUCCCGGACAGUCCCGCUGCUGUGUGCGGCCUUUUGUCAGAACGAACACGGUGCCACUGACCACCCUUAGGAGGGCAUGUCGGGAAGGCGUUCGUCCUGGGCCGCGAGCCAGAAGACCUGCCGUUGCGAU
rnacentral:ncRNA from 1 species